GCCCUCGGUGGCUCAGAUGGAUAGAGCGUCUGCCAUACAAGCGGGAGAUCCCGGGUUCGAGUCCUGGCCGGGGCA